rnacentral:rRNA from 1 species
GACGAACGCUGGCGGCGUGCCUAAUACAUGCAAGUAGAACGCUGACGAGAGGAGCUUACUCUUCUUGGAUGAGUUGCGAACGGGUGAGUAACGCGUAGGUAACCUGCCUUGUAGCGGGGGAUAACUAUUGGAAACGAUAGCUAAUACCGCAUAACAAUGGAUGACACAUGUCAUUUAUUUGAAAGGGGCAAUUGCUCCACUACAAGAUGGACCUGCGUUGUAUUAGCUAGUAGGUGAGGUAAUGGCUCACCUAGGCGACGAUACAUAGCCGACCUGGGAGGGUGAUCGGGCAACCUGGGACUGGGGCACCGCCCAAGCUCCUACGGGAGGCAGCAGUAGGGAAUCUUCGGCAAUGGGGGCAACCCUGACCGAGCAACGCCGCGUGAGUGAAGGAGGUUUUCGGAUCGUAAAGCUCUGUUGUAAGUCAAGAACGGGUGUGAGGGUGGAAAGUUCACACUGUGACGGUAGCUUACCAGAAAGGGACGGCUAACUACGUG